UCUGGACCACUGGACCGCUGAUUGCAUAGGUGAUCCAAUUCAGCUGGGCCAUUCGGACGGCCCAGUCACCGGGUCCGUUGGCCACGAAAUUUCUCCGGUGCACUUCCGCCGAAGCGCCGCCGCUCCACUUCCUCUGCGAGCCCCAACCGCCGCCGGGCGCGGGGGGCCGCCGUUCUCGCGCUCCCGACGCGGCCAUGGCUUGCCCCCACCUCGCCCUCCGGCUCCGCCGCCUUCUCGCGGCCGCGCCUGUUUCCUUGCUCGCGGGCGCCCACUCUACAAAGCACUCCUCUCCACCAUUAAAUCCCAGUACACUGCUGACACCGCGGCGGCGGCAUCCCCCGAUCCUCCCUGCGCGACGGCUCUACUCCACCACGCACGUCGUGCUCCCUACCAAUCUCCAGGACGAGCGCUUCGGGGUGCUCUCGGAUAGGAUCUACGACGCCGUGAUCGAGACGGCGGAGGGGUCCAGCGAGGGCACGGAGGCGGCCCUCGACGCGCUGCACGCCGAGCUGACCACCCCGCUCGUGGCCGACGUGCUGCAUCGCCUCCGCUACGAAGAGAAGCUGGCCUUCCGGUUCUUCGUCUGGGCCUCUCACCAGGACGGCUACGAGCACGAGGCGGCGAUGUACAACGACGUCAUCGACAUCCUCUGCGGCACGCGGUACAAGGCCCGCCAGUUCGGCGUCCUCUGCGACGUGCUCGACCACAUGAAGCGCCAUCGCACAAGGUCCGUGCCGGUCGACGACUUGUUGGGUAUCCUGCGAGCAUACACGGAGAAGCACCUCACGCACCUCAGGAAGCUGGCCAAAAAGCGGCGGGUGCGGAUGCGCACGCCGCCGGAGACCGACGCGCUGAACGUGCUGUUGGACGGUUUCUGCAAGUGCGGGAUGGUUAGGGAGGCGGAGGCGGUGUUCAGCCGCGUGAAGAGGAAGUUGCUGGGGAAUGCUGAAACAUACAGUAUCUUGUUCUUCGGGUGGUGCCGGGCAAGGGACCCCAAGAGGGCCAUGAAGGUGCUCGAGGAAAUGAUUGAGAUGAAACACACCCCGGAGAACUUUACUUACAAUUCUGCCAUUGACUCAUUUUGCAGUGCUGGUUUGGUCUCAGAGGCAAGGGAGUUGUUUGAGUUCAUGAGAACAGAGGGGUCGACGAUAUCAUCGCCCACGGCUAAGACAUACUCGAUUAUGAUUGUGGCACUAGCAAAGGCCGGUCAGAUGGAGGAGUGCUUUGAACUUAUUUCAGAUAUGAGAAAAUGUGGCUGUAUGCCUGAUGUAUCGACAUACAAAGACUUGAUUGAAGGCAUGUGCUUGGUGGGUAAACUGGAUGCUGCUUAUUGUGUCUUAGAGGAGAUGGCAAAGGCUGGGUUUCCUCCUGAUAUUGUAACUUACAAUUGCUUUCUGAAGGUGCUUUGUAGUCUUCAAAAGGCUGAUGAUGCGCUUGAACUAUGUGAAAGGAUGAUAGAUGCUCAUUGUGAGCCUAGUGUUCAUACUUAUAAUAUGUUGAUGGUGAUGUUCUUUGAGAUGGGAGAGCCAGAUAGGGCAAUCAAUAUUUGGAUUGAAAUGGACAAUAGAGGAUGCCAUCGUGCUGUUGAUACCUAUGAAACAAUGAUUGAUGGGUUGUUUGAUUCUGGAAGAACGGAAGAUGCAACCAGUCUUCUAGAUGAGGUAAUAAACCGUGGCAUGAAACUUUCGUACAAGAAGUUUGACGCUAUCAUGCUGCAGUUAUCAGCUGUAGGCAACCUUGGCGCGAUACAUCGGCUGUCAGAGCAUAUGAGGAGAUUUUACAAUGUUGCGAUGUCAAGGCGUUUUGCAAUCACACAGAAGAAGAAGAGCAUAGGUCUGAGAAGGAAAUGAGUGUUCUGAGAUUUCUUCUUAGUGCUGGUGAUCAAUACUUAUUAUCAGGAUGGUUGAUAAAUGUGUCCGCACACAAUUUAACAGUGCGAAAACUUCAUGAACUCCAUUUUCUGCUAAAGAAAACCAGUACUGUGAGUGUUUUCAUAUCACAAGAACAUAAAACCUAUGCAUAUUCCUUGAGCCAGAAUAGAGAGGCGUAUGACUGGAUUUCAUUGCAUUAAACAUGCUAUUCCACAUCACCUCCCUUGGCUUUAUGCAACAUUUCCCCAAAAAUGAAUUAUGGACUGGACUCUUUUGAGAUCUCAUCUUCUCAGGGGAUAUGUGAUUGACAGUUUUUCACAGAGUCACAGAAAGCAGAAUAUGUUACUCCUAUGGGAUGGAUUGAGCACUUCGGAUACCAUCCAUCGCGCCGGUGCAGGCGAAAUACUCUGAACCUGAGGACUCGUGAACAAAUGGGCAAGUGCGCCGGAUGCCGCCGAGUUUUCAUGAGUUCCGAGGUAAAUAUGGCUGCUUGUGGCUGGAAAGAUCUCUGUGCCAAGUGAUCUCCACCAUCUCAUUCAUUGCAUGAUUCUCUGAGCCAUGCGUAGCCAUCAGAUCUCACAGUGUACAUCAGUACACUGUUCAUAAACGCGGCGUGCCUGUUCCUUUGGCUGGCUAUGUCUUUUUUCCCAGAGGAAUCACUGUUUCUCCGGUGGUGAAAGUACCACGCACGCAAGCAGGAAACGAAACGGGAUUUGCCACCUUAUUUUGCGGUAUAAAUUCCCUAAUCAUGCAGCAUUACCGUCCCCUGUACUGCCACCGUCAACAAGGAACAAAGAGAUGUUCCACCCCAUUACCCCAAAAGACCAAAAGACCAAAAACAAACAGUUACAGACACAUGUUUUGACUGGCCUUUGUUUAGCGUGGAGCCCUGCAAUGUCGACGCGACCAGAGAAGAAGCCCCCUGCAAUGUCACGUUGGAUGCGAGCCCUCCGACGACGACGCCGCCGAAACUUUGCACUCACUGACUCACCGUCUCGCCGGAUGGUGGAAAUUUUUGUCGGCGGGGAAAGCGAGCGCACAAGGUCGAGUUGCCCGCGGCGAGCUUGGCUUUGCCCGCGUUGUUCUGUAGCGAAGCAGAUCGUGGCGUCGGGCCCCGGCUGUCGGUCGGCGGCGUGGUUGUACGGUGAGGGCUGCAUGUGAGGGGGAGCGGCCAUGCUGUGUGAAUCUGCAUUAGUUAAGGUCAUGUUUAGUUUUCAAAAUUUUUCAAAAACAUCACAUCGAAUCUUUACACACUUAAAUAAAGUAUUAAAUA